ensembl:snRNA U6 U6 spliceosomal RNA
AUGCUCGCUUCAGCAGCACAUAUACUAAAACUGGAAUAAUACAGAGAAGAUUAGCAUGGGCCCUGCACAAGGAAGACACACAAAUUUGUGAAGUGUUCCAUAUUUUU